ensembl:antisense Gm15200 predicted gene 15200
UAGAGAAAGAGCACAAAGUCUGGAGAUGGCUCGGCAGGUAAAGGCACUAGCCACAUCUUUCUAAAACAGAUCUGUACCUUUCCCCUUGCGUUAUGGUGAUGAAGGUUGAAUCCAUGGCCUUGUGCAUACAGGUGCUUGGCUAAAUGGAUGGAUGACUACAGAAGGGAACUUACGUAGAAUGAGUUUGCGUUUCUUUUGCUCUGAGUGAAGGAAGCUACUGAGGUAGAAGACGACAGGCAGGAAGAGAAUGAACACAGACACAGCAACCACAGACACCGUGUCGCUGCAGGUGACCGAACAGUUGAAGGUUCGACUCCAAAGCUUCCGAGUAAUGUUCAUCUAGAAAAACAAAUAUCAUAUUAUAGUCUCUUUAAUUAAAGUUUAAUUAAAGUUCUCUUUAAUGUCUUAGUA